UCCCCUAUAGUGUAGUGGUUUAGCAUAUCAGAUUUUCAGGGGCGCAGCUCAUACUGAAAUUCUCUGACGACCCGGGUUCAAACCCCGGUGGGGGAA